GAAAAAUAGGACUACAAUACACAACUCCUCUUGUGUCUUUACCUUUACUUUAGCCUUAGCCAACCCUCCUACUUAUAGGCUCCUAGAUAUAAUGAAUCUAGCCUACACGAACUCACCACUAAGCACAUAUUAAAACACACAUUAACUCACUCACUAUCACAUACUAAUGAGUUCUCAUGAAUCCCUAAUGAAUGCAAGGUGAUCCCAAGGGUUGCCCAUGACUCUUAAAUUUUCGCUAGUAGUUUUGGAGUUAAUAAAUCUAGCAGUUAUAUGGCGGAGGGCUGCGAAGGCAGUGGCAGAGGAAGAGGAUGGGGCGCUG
rnacentral:lncRNA from 1 species